AUUAAUCGUGGUAGUCUGUCCUUCUCCUUCGCUAACUCACUACCUGUAUCUGACUACUUGAAACACUACACACGUUUUCUUACAUUAGAAACUUUGUUCAAAACCAAAAUCCCCUGUUAUCAUUGGGAAAACACUCUGUUCAAAAAGCAGAAAACACCUGCACAGGAUGCGGGCGAGGACGCGGGUGAGGACGCGGGCGAGGACGCAGACGAGGACACAGACGAGGACACAGACAAGGUAGUAGGUAAGGACGCGGGCGAGGACACAGACAAGGUAGUAGGUAAGGACACGGGCGAGGACGCGGGUGAGGACGCAGACGAGGACACAGACAAGGUAGUAGGUAAGGACGCGGGCGAGGACACAGACAAGGUAGUAGGUAAGGACGCGGGCGAGGACACAGACAAGGUAGUAGGUAAGGACGCGGGCGAGGACGCAGACAAGGUAGUAGGUAAGGACGUGGGCAAGGACGCAGACGAGGACACAGACGAGGACACAGACAAGGUAGAGGGUAAGGACGCGGGCGAGGACACAGACAAGGUAGUAGGUAAGGACGCGGGCGAGUACGCGGUCGAGUACGCGGGCGAGGACGCAGACGAGGACACAGACGAGGACACAGACAAGGUAGAGGGUAAGGACGCGGGCGAGGACACAGACAAGGUAGUAGGUAAGGACGCGGGCGAGUACGCGGUCGAGUACGCGGGCGAGGACGCAGACGAGGACAUAGACAAGGUAGUAGGUAAGGACGCGGGCGAGGACACAGACAAGGUAGUAGGUAAGGACGCGGGCGAGGACACAGACAAGGUAGUAGGUAAGUACGCAGGCGAGGACACAGACAAGGUAGUAGGUAAGGACGCGGGCGAGGACACAGACGAGGACACAGACGAGGACGCAGACAAGGUAGUAGGUAAGGACGCGGGCGAGGACACAGACAAGGUAGUAGGUAAGGACGCGGGCGAGGACACAGACAAGGUAGUAGGUAAGGACGCGGGCGAGGACCCAGACGAGGACAAAGACAAGGUAGACGUGGGCAAGGACGUGGGUGAAGGUGAGGACAGGGGCUAUGACGCAGACGAGGGACGAGGUCGUAGGCGAGGACGUUGGAGAGGACUUAGUAGUGGAUGUAGUAGAGGAACGCGGGAGAGGACGCAGACGAGGUCGUGGGCGAGGGCAAGGAUGUAG
rnacentral:lncRNA from 1 species